rnacentral:lncRNA from 1 species
AUGCUUGGUCUUCUUUUAGAACAAAGUAAGCUAAAAAAUAAAUGCUCGUGUUUACCUAGUACUAUCCAGGGCAGAGAAAGGCCUGCAUAAGCGUGGCAAUUAGCAAAGAAGUGGACACUGCUGUGGGGCAGGGAGUUCCAUUAGGCUGUGCCACAUGACCACCUACAUCCCUUCACUCAAGGCCCAUCCUCUUUUUUUUGAGACGGAGUCUCUUGCUCUGUCGCCCAGGUUGUAGUGCAGUAGCAUGAUUUUGGCUCACUGCAACCUCUACCUUCCAGGUUGAAGUAAUUCUCUUGCCUCAGCCUCCUGAGUAGCUGGGACUACAGGUACAUGCCACCACACCUGGCUAACAUUUUUUUUUUCUAUUUUCAGUAGAGACGGGGUUUCACCAUGUUGGCCAGGAUGGUCUCGAUCUCCUGCCCUUGUGAUCCGCCUGCUUCAGCCUCCCGAAGUGCAGGGAUUACAGGUGUGAGCCACCAUGCCCAGCCAUCAAGGCUCAUCCUCACCAAGUUAGCUUUCAAU